GAUGAAGCUCUCAAGAGGUUGGUUUGGGUUUUGGAGAGUCUCCCUGCGGAACCAACCCGGGAACAGGUAUUCAUGCGGAAAAUCCCCUCUAUGAUAUCCCCAUUUCAUUUGAGUGAAACACGUAUCUCGUCAAUGGCUCUUGACUUGCCCGAGAGGUAAACUUCAUGGCCUAACUGCAGGAUCUCGUAAUUAAUGAGUGCAUCCCCCUCCCCCAUCCAUCCCCUUGAACACAGCUCCGCCCCAGAGACUCACCCAGAGAAUUCUACACUUUGAAGGGCCUCAUUACCUGGGGCAAAAGUUACUGCGCCUGCUGGUAGUAGAGGGGACGACCCACCCAAUCCAAUCUCUCCAACACACCCCACUUAGCAAGUUAACUUACAUAGUUAGAUAAUAAUAACAAAAACAUUCCCUUCUACAUUCUGUUUCUCAGACUAGUAUAAUUGACAGCGACACCAGUUUAGCGCUAUCCUGGUCCUUUAUUGACUUCGCUACCUCUCCCUGGCUUUGUCCUCGAUUUUGAAUGCCGU
rnacentral:sRNA from 2 species